GAGGUGGGAGGAUUGCUUGAGCCUGAAUAGGUCAAGGCUGCAGUGAGCUGAGAUCAAGCCACUGCACUCCAGCCUGAGUGACAGAGCAAGACCUUGUCUC
ensembl:miRNA